AGCGAAACUUGGUGUAUCUACUAUACUCCCAUUCAUCUUCGACGCAAGAACGCUCGAUUAGUGAGCUAUUACGCACUCUUUCAAGGGUGGCUGCUUUUAGGCAAACCUCCUGGCUGUCUCUACACUCCUACCUCCUUUAUCACUAGCGAUCAUUUAGGGGCCUUAGCUGGUGAUUUGGGAUGUUUCCCUCUCGACUAUGAAGCCUAUCCCCCAUCAUCUCACAACUUUAAGUC
rnacentral:lncRNA from 1 species